GACUUAAAAUCCGUCGACUUUAAAAAUCGUGAGGGUNCAAGUCCUUCUAUCCCC
rnacentral:tRNA from 1 species